rnacentral:lncRNA from 1 species
AACUAUAACCCGAGGUUAGCACUACGACAACUGGGAUACCCUAUGGUGGACAAGCCUGAUCUCAAAAGUGUAGAAGGUUUUGUCUUAUAUGAAGGGGUUGAAGAACCAGAACUGAUCAAGAAGAUUGUCAAGGCUUGGGAAGCAAUUUAUCCUCAAGGAAGAGCAGAGAUGGGUGUAGCGGGGUAUUCGUUACCAUUAGAGAUAUUGAUUAAAUCCAAGGUAAACCAUACAAGUCGAGUCGCCACCGCACUUCUAUUUAUCCAAAGGAAUGGUUAGAAAGCGAACACAAACCUAAAAGUUUUAUCGAAUCAAAAACUAGUAAAAAUGUCAGAGAUCUCAUACAAGUCGAGUCGCCACCGCACUUCUAUUUAUCCAAAGGAAUGGUUAGAAAGCGAACACAAACCUAAAAGUUUUAUCGAAUCAAAAACUAGUAAAAAUGUCAGAGAUCUGGGUAAGGGGGUUGGUUAUGCAAUGGGAAGAUUUUAAGCGCCCAAAACAUCCUAGGUACUCCUAAGGAGCCCUUUUCAUAAGUGUUGUUCUAGUCUAAAGGGUGUAGGUAUAUCUAAAGUACUAUUUACUAAAAGGAAGGUUAAAACAAAAUGACUCGCAAGGAUGUCGCAUCCACUGCCUACGUAUCUCAUCUGAGUAUGAGAAUCAG